rnacentral:rRNA from 1 species
UACGUAGGGCGCAAGCGUUGUCCGGAAUUAUUGGGCGUAAAGAGCUCGUAGGCGGUCUGUUGCGUCCGCUGUGAAAACUCGGGGCUUAACCCCGGGCCUGCAGUGGAUACGGGCAGACUAGAGGUAGGUGGGGGAGAAUGGAAUUCCCGGUGUAGCGGUGAAAUGCGCAGAUAUCGGGAGGAACACCGGUGGCGAAGGCGGUUCUCUGGGCCUUACCUGACGCUGAGGAGCGAAAGCGUGGGGAGCGAACAGG